UACGGAGGGGGCUAGCGUUGUUCGGAAUUACUGGGCGUAAAGCGCACGUAGGCGGCCAUUCAAGUCAGAGGUGAAAGCCCAGAGCUCAACUUUGGAAUUGCCUUUGAAACUAGAUGGCUUGAACACGGGAGAGGUGAGUGGAAUUCCGAGUGUAGAGGUGAAAUUCGUAGAUAUUCGGAAGAACACCAGUGGCGAAGGCGGCUCACUGGGCCGUUGUUGACGCUGAGGUGCGAAAGCGUGGGGAGCAAACAGG
rnacentral:rRNA from 1 species